UACGGAGGGGGCUAGCGUUGUUCGGAAUUACUGGGCGUAAAGCGCACGUAGGCGGCUCUGUAAGUUAGAGGUGAAAGCCCAGGGCUUAACCCUGGAAUUGCCUUUAAGACUGCAUCGCUAGAAUCGUGGAGAGGUGAGUGGAAUUCCGAGUGUAGAGGUGAAAUUCGUAGAUAUUCGGAAGAACACCAGUGGCGAAGGCGACUCACUGGACACGUAUUGACGCUGAGGUGCGAAAGCGUGGGGAGCAAACAGG
rnacentral:rRNA from 1 species